rnacentral:rRNA from 1 species
GACGAACGCUGGCGGCGUGCUUAACACAUGCAAGUCGAACGGAAAGGCCCUGCUUUUGUGGGGUGCUCGAGUGGCGAACGGGUGCGUAACACGUGAGUAACCUGCCCUUGACUUUGGGAUAACUUCAGGAAACUGGGGCUAAUACCCGAUAAGAGCUCCUGCUGCAUGGUGGGGGUUGGAAAGUUUCGGCGGUUGGGGAUGGACUCUCGGGUUAUCAACCUGGUGGUGGGGUAGUGGCUUAACAAGGCUUUGACGGGUUGCCGGCCUGAGAGGGUGACCGGCGACACUGGGACGGAGAUACGGCCCAGACUCCUACGGGAGGCAGCAGUGGGGAAUAUUGCACUAUGGGCGGAAGCCUGAUGCAGCAACGACGCGUGCGGGAUGACGGCCUUCGGGUUGUAAACCGCUUUCGCCUGUGACGAAGCGUGAGUGACGGUAAUGGGUAAAGAAGCAACGGCUAACUACGUG